rnacentral:rRNA from 1 species
GACAGAGGGUGCAAACGUUGUUCGGAAUUGCUGGGCGUAAGGAGUGCGUAGGUGGUGCCCUAAGUCUGUUGUGAAAUCUCCCGGCUUAACUGGGAGGGUGCGGUGGAAACUGGGGUGCUUGAGUGUGGGAGAGGUAAGCGGAAUUCCUGGUGUAGCGGUGAAAUGCGUAGAUAUCAGGAGGAACACCGGUGGUGUAGACGGCUUACUGGACCACGACUGACACUGAGGCACGAAAGCGUGGGUAGCAAACAGG